rnacentral:rRNA from 1 species
CGCUGGCGGCGUGCUUAAUACAUGCAAGUCGAGCGAGCUACUUCGGUAGCGAGCGGCGCACGGGUGAGUAACGCGUAGAUGAUCUACCCUUGAGACGGAGAUACCUCCGGGAAACUGGAGUUAAUACCCGAUAACGCACAUUGAUUGGUUUUGAUGUGUUAAAGCGGUGCAAGUCGCACUUGAGGAUGAGUCUGCGGCCUAUCAGCUAGUUGGUGGGGUAACGGCCUACCAAGGCGAAGACGGGUAGCUGAUCUGAGAGGAUGAUCAGCCACAUUGGGACUGAGACACGGCCCAAACUCCUACGGGAGGCAGCAGUAGGGAAUAUUGCGCAAUGGGGGGAACCCUGACGCAGCGACGCCGCGUGAAGUGAUGACGGCCUUUUUGGUUGUAAAGCUCUGUAAAGAGGGAAAAAUGUUUAUGUGAAGAGCAUGAAUUGAUGGUACCUCUAAAGUAAGGACCGGCUAAAUACGUGCCAGCCGCUGC